UCCCUCCCUUGGAGCUCUCCAUCAGCUGGGACUGGGCCAUCUCCCUAUGAGAAUAUACAAACUAAAGAUGAGAGAAAGGAAGUCACUUUCCCAAGCCUGUC
rnacentral:lncRNA from 1 species